rnacentral:other from 1 species
UAGUGUCAGAUGGAUGCGACACCGGCACUUUUAAAACCGACUAAAGUGACGAUACGGGAGUUCUGAUCUGUUAUUGGUGUUGAAGGCCUGUAUUUAUAUAGGAAUCCUAAAAAUAACGUACGGACACCCACCUGGACGAAAGAACAGGUUUUAUCGUUUGUUAGGACGCUCUGGUCUGACUUUUU